AGAUUAAGUUAUUAAGGGCGCACGGUGGAUGCCUUGGCACUAGAAGCCGAUGAAGGACGUUACUAACGACGAUAUGCUUUGGGUAGCUGUAAGUAAGCGUUGAUCCAGAGAUUUCCGAAUGGGGGAACCCAGCAUGAGUUAUGUCAUGUUAUCGACAUGUGAAUUCAUAGCAUGUCAGAAGGCAGACCCGGAGAACUGAAACAUCUUAGUACCCGGAGGAAGAGAAAGAAAAAUCGAUUCCCUGAGUAGCGGCGAGCGAAACGGGAAGAGCCCAAACCAACAAGCUUGCUUGUUGGGGUUGUAGGACACUCUAUACGGAGUUACAAAAGAACAUGUUAGACGAAUCAUCUGGAAAGAUGAAUCAAAGAAGGUAAUAAUCCUGUAGUCGAAAACAUAUUCUCUCUUGAGUGGAUCCUGAGUACGACGGAGCACGUGAAAUUCCGUCGGAAUCUGGGAGGACCAUCUCCUAAGGCUAAAUACUCUCUAGUGACCGAUAGUGAACCAGUACCGUGAGGGAAAGGUGAAAAGUACCCCGGAAGGGGAGUGAAAGAGAACUUGAAACCGUGUGCUUACAAGUAGUCAGAGCCCGUUAAUGGGUGAUGGCGUGCCUUUUGUAGAAUGAACCGGCGAGUUACGAUCUGAUGCAAGGUUAAGCAGCAAAUGUGGAGCCGCAGCGAAAGCGAGUCUGAAUAGGGCGUUGAGUAUUUGGUCGUAGACCCGAAACCAGGUGAUCUACCCUUGGUCAGGUUGAAGUUCAGGUAACACUGAAUGGAGGACCGAACCGACUUACGUUGAAAAGUGAGCGGAUGAACUGAGGGUAGCGGAGAAAUUCCAAUCGAACUUGGAGAUAGCUGGUUCUCUCCGAAAUAGCUUUAGGGCUAGCCUCAAGUGAUGAUUAUUGGAGGUAGAGCACUGUUUGGACGAGGGGCCCCUCUCGGGUUACCGAAUUCAGACAAACUCCGAAUGCCAAUUAAUUUAACUUGGGAGUCAGAACAUGGGUGAUAAGGUCCGUGUUCGAAAGGGAAACAGCCCAGACCACCAGCUAAGGUCCCAAAAUAUAUGUUAAGUGGAAAAGGAUGUGGCGUUGCCCAGACAACUAGGAUGUUGGCUUAGAAGCAGCCAUCAUUUAAAGAGUGCGUAAUAGCUCACUAGUCGAGUGACACUGCGCCGAAAAUGUACCGGGGCUAAACAUAUUACCGAAGCUGUGGAUUGUCCUUUGGACAAUGGUAGGAGAGCGUUCUAAGGGCGUCGAAGCAUGAUCGCAAGGACAUGUGGAGCGCUUAGAAGUGAGAAUGCCGGUGUGAGUAGCGAAAGACGGGUGAGAAUCCCGUCCACCGAUUGACUAAGGUUUCCAGAGGAAGGCUCGUCCGCUCUGGGUUAGUCGGGUCCUAAGCUGAGGCCGACAGGCGUAGGCGAUGGAUAACAGGUUGAUAUUCCUGUACCACCUAGUAUCGUUUUAAU
rnacentral:rRNA from 1 species